UCUGUAGCUCAGUGGUAGAACCCUUGCUUGGCAUACAUGAGACCCUGGGUUAAAUCCCCAACACUGAA
rnacentral:tRNA from 1 species